CGCCCCUUGGCUGUUGCCCUCCCAGGCCCAAGUGUUACCUCCUCCAGAAAGUCUCCCAGGACUGAAGGCUUCUGGCUGUUGUGAGAAUAAACAAGUAAGCUUUUCUGUCAAAGAACAGUUUAGGCAGCUGCCAUUUAGGCCCACAGGACUUACAGCUCCCCUGGGGGCCACCAUCUUGGGCUCUGUCUUACCCCUCCCCUUCCUCUGAAUUAGCCAAUCACACAAUAGUGGGAAGCCAAGCUCUGAGCCCUGACCAAUCAAGUCAGAGUUCAGAGUGAGGGGCAGGGCAGACCCCUCGUCAGGAAAUAAAACCCUUUGGAUGUGCUUUGCCAUUGAUUUCCAGCUGGAGGAGCACCCUUGUGGACAGGGGUAAAUGGCCUUGCCGAUCCAGUUUCGAGUGUUUAUCUCAUUCCUGCGACAUUGUUGAGAGCAUUUCUAACACUGGAAACCACUGGGUACACACCGGGGAAGAGCAGGAAGCAAAGUCCCAAGUCUGUUUCUGGGUCAGACCAGCCAGAGCAGGAGGAGAGAGGUUGGUAUCCUCAAGGUGUGAGCUCUGAUUCCUUGAGAAGAUGCCAAAAAAAGAAAAGAAAGAAAAGAAUUCCUGGCUCGGGAUCGUUAUGGGAGCAAUCACUCUGAAUUGCCUAGCAUGGGCAACAGGGCCUGGUGCGCUUGUGCUAGCCGUGGGCUCCGUGGCAGUAGGACUCACAGGAAUCAGCUUCUUCUGGUGGAAUAAGGCCAUGGAAUACAAGAUGCAGGAAAAGCAGUCCUCGGGUUACCUUCGUCAUGUCCUGGUUACGACAGGAAUUGUUACCUUUCUUUUCAUUUUUUUGUACUGUUUCACUUCAUUUCUGACUUAUGGCAAAAAUGGCCUUAUGUCAAGCUAUAGAAACUGAUCUCCCAGGUUACCCGAGGACCUACUCUAUUAUUGACAGGAAUCCUUUCCAAUCUCCUGGCCAGAAGGAGAAGGCUCCGCCUUCCUGGGGAAUGUGUGAAGCAACAUGCUAUACACAGCUUAUAUUUUGAGUAUAAACAAGUCAACUUUUGAGCAAAAUCAAAAUUAAUUACAUACA